rnacentral:rRNA from 1 species
CAUGCAGUCGAGCGGUAACAUUCCUAGCUUGCUAGGAGAUGACGAGCGGCGGACGGGUGAGUAAUGCUUGGGAACAUGCCUUUAGGAGGGGGACAACAGUUGGAAACGACUGCUAAUACCGCAUAACCUCUGAGGAGCAAAGCGGGGGACCUUCGGGCCUCGCGCCUAGAGAUUGGCCCAAGUGAGAUUAGCUAGUUGGUAAGGUAACGGCUUACCAAGGCGACGAUCUCUAGCUGGUUUGAGAGGAUGAUCAGCCACACUGGGACUGAGACACGGCCCAGACACCUACGGGAGGCAGCAGUGGGGAAUAUUGCACAAUGGGGGGAACCCUGAUGCAGCCAUGCCGCGUGUGUGAAGAAGGCCUUCGGGUUGUAAAGCACUUUCAGUUGUGAGGAAAGGUGUCAGGUUAAUAACCUUGCACUGUGACGUUAGCAACAGAAGAAGCACCGGCUAACUCCGUGCCAGCAGCCGCGGUAAUACGGAGGGUGCGAGCGUCAAUCGGAAUUACUGGGCGUAAAGCGUGCGUAGGCGGAUUAUUAAGCAAGAUGUGAAAGCCCAGGGCUCAACCUUGGAACUGCAUUUUGAACUGAUAGUCUAGAGUACUGUAGAGGGUGGUGGAAUUUCCAGUGUAGCGGUGAAAUGCGUAGAGAUUGGAAGGAACAUCAGUGGCGAAGGCGGCCACCUGGACAGAUACUGACGCUGAGGCACGAAAGCGUGGGGAGCGAACAGGAUUAGAUACCCUGGUAGUCCACGCCGUAAACGAUGUCAACUAGCUGUUUGUGGGCUUGACCUGUGAGUAGCGUAGCUAACGCGCUAAGUUGACCGCCUGGGGAGUACGGCCGCAAG